UACGUAGGGUGCAAGCGUUAAUCGGAAUUACUGGGCGUAAAGCGUGCGCAGGCGGUUCGCUAAGACCGAUGUGAAAUCCCCGGGCUUAACCUGGGAACUGCAUUGGUGACUGGCGGGCUAGAGUAUGGCAGAGGGGGGUAGAAUUCCACGUGUAGCAGUGAAAUGCGUAGAGAUGUAGAGGAAUACCGAUGGCGAAGGCAGCCCCCUGGGCCAAUACUGACGCUCAUGCACGAAAGCGUGGGGAGCAAACAGG
rnacentral:rRNA from 1 species